AGAAAACAAACACAGACCCACGAAGGACAAAACUCAGACUUCAUUUUUGUAAGUCUGAUUGCCCCCUUCUUCAGCAAGGCAUUCUGAAGUACCAUGCUGGACAAGACUCACGAAGGACCAUACCAUCCGAUGCCUAGUCAGCGAAGCAAAACGAUGAAGUCAGAUGCCAUUCUUUCGCAUAACACCCAUCAAUCUCAAAACUAAUAUUUUUCGAAGAAGAAGAAGAAGAGAAUGAG
rnacentral:misc_RNA from 1 species